UCUAUUCUGGUGCCAUGGACAAUGUUAUAAAAGCAAGUUUGGAGCCUAGAUAAUCUGCAGUGUAUACAAACGCUUACAGAGCAUACUUCAGUUGUCAUGUCUCUCAUUUGCUGGGAUCAAUUUCUUCUGUCAUGUUCAUUGGACAACACUGUCAAGAUAUGGGCUGCUACUGAAGGUGGAAACUUAGAAGUGAC